rnacentral:rRNA from 2 species
AAAUUGAAGAGUUUGAUCAUGGCUCAGAUUGAACGCUGGCGGCAGGCCUAACACAUGCAAGUCGAACGGUAGCACAGAGAGCUUGCUCUCGGGUGACGAGUGGCGGACGGGUGAGUAAUGUCUGGGAAACUGCCUGAUGGAGGGGGAUAACUACUGGAAACGGUGGCUAAUACCGCAUAACGUCGCAAGACCAAAGAGGGGGACCUUCGGGCCUCUUGCCAUCAGAUGUGCCCAGAUGGGAUUAGCUAGUUGGUGAGGUAACGGCUCACCAAGGCGACGAUCCCUAGCUGGUCUGAGAGGAUGACCAGCCACACUGGAACUGAGACACGGUCCAGACUCCUACGGGAGGCAGCAGUGGGGAAUAUUGCACAAUGGGCGCAA